UGGGGAAUAUUGGUCAAUGGGCGAGAGCCUGAACCAGCCAAGUCGCGUGAAGGAAGACAGUCCUAAGGAUUGUAAACUUCUUUUAUACGGGAAUAACGGGCGAUACGAGUAUUGCAUUGAAUGUACCGUAAGAAUAAGCAUCGGCUAACUCCGUGCCAGCAGCCGCGGUAAUACGGAGGAUGCGAGCGUUAUCCGGAUUUAUUGGGUUUAAAGGGUGCGUAGGUUGUUCGGUAAGUCAGCGGUGAAACCUGAGCGCUCAACGUUCAGCCUGCCGUUGAAACUGCCGGGCUUGAGUUCAGUGGCGGCAGGCGGAAUUCGUGGUGUAGCGGUGAAAUGCAUAGAUAUCACGAGGAACUCCGAUUGCGAAGGCAGCUUGCCAUACUGCGACUGACACUGAAGCACGAAGGCGUGGGUAUCAAACAGG
rnacentral:rRNA from 1 species